GAUGAACGCUGACAGAAUGCUUAACACAUGCAAGUCAAUUUGAAUUUGGGUUUUUAACUUAGGUUUGGGUGGCGGACGGGUGAGUAACGCGUAAAGAACUUGCCUCACAGCUAGGGACAACAUUUGGAAACGAAUGCUAAUACCUAAUAUUAUGAUAAUAGGGCAUCCUAUAAUUAUGAAAGCUAUAAGCGCUGUGAGAGAGCUUUGCGUCCCAUUAGCUAGUUGGAGAGGUAACGGCUCACCAAGGCGAUGAUGGGUAGCCGGCCUGAGAGGGUGAUCGGCCACAAGGGGACUGAGACACGGCCCUUACUCCUACGGGAGGCAGCAGUGGGGAAUAUUGGACAAUGGACCAAGAGUCUGAUCCAGCAAUUCUGUGUGCACGAUGAAGUUUUUCGGAAUGUAAAGUGCUUUAAGUUGGGAAGAAAGAAAUGACGGUACCAACAGAAGAAGUGACGGCUAAAUACGUGCCAGCAGCCGCGGUAAUACGUAUGUCACGAGCGUUAUCCGGAUUUAUUGGGCGUAAAGCGCGUCUAGGUGGUUAUGUAAGUCUGAUGUGAAAAUGCAGGGCUCAACUCUGUAUUGCGUUGGAAACUGUAUAACUAGAGUACUGGAGAGGUAAGCGGAACUACAAGUGUAGAGGUGAAAUUCGUAGAUAUUUGUAGGAAUGCCGAUGGGGAAGCCAGCUUACUGGACAGAUACUGACGCUGAAGCGCGAAAGCGUGGGUAGCAAACAGG
rnacentral:rRNA from 1 species